rnacentral:sRNA from 15 species
GCAAAAUAAAUACGAAAAUACCUGAACUGAACUGAACAGCAAAUGGGAAAUGUUGUUGUUGCUCUCGCUUGGCGCUUAAUAACUAAACAGAAAAUCCCCUACAGGCGCCCUGCGUGAAAGGUGCGCUCCCCAAGAAACCUCUAAGACGUGAGUAAUUUUCUUUUAUACAUUUGUGUCACUUAAUUAUUCGCAAAUUAUGCAUCAUUUAACUUUCGAGCGUUUUGGGCAAACACACAAAAAUGUCCAAAUUAAUGGACACCUCCACUUCCGGCACCAGAAGCUGAAGUUGUCUCAAAUCAAAAGAACUGACAUUAAUGGCCUGCACAAAUAUUUACUUACGGAACUAGGGUCAAAUGUGGCGCGCAGACAGCUUAUGGUGACACUCAAAAUCAGGCAGCACUGCAUCAGUUCGGCUCAGGCCAGCGACAGUCAAUAACUUCAGUUCCAGCACCGACCAGACCAUCAUCCAAACCAGGACGCAGCUAUCCGCCACGUGCGACCACCCCAAAGGAAGAUCCGAGCACCUACCAAGCUCUAUACCUUUUAACAACAAUAAAACAACCAUAUUUCUUGGUGCCGCUUGAUCCACGCCUUAUUCUUGAACCACGAGACUCUUUUCGGCUGUACCGUCGUUACAAUAGAUAUUAUAUAUAACAUAAUUAAAGACGGAACAUACAUAUGUAUUUAUAGCUAAUUAUUAUUAUUAUUAUGCGCUAACUACUACGAAAAAAAAUUAUACUACGGUACAAAAAUUUCGUCCUGUACAGCCUUGUGAACUAAUUUGGCCUUCUCUCGGCAUAAAGAUAGAAGUUUUAGAACAAAAGCGAGGUCGUAUUUGCCUCGCUUUCGUGCGGGCAUGAUUGCCGGGUAAAUCAACAAAUUAAUAUUUCUUCCCUCUGAAACAACAAGAUCGGCAGCCUGCCUUCUUCGUGCUCUGCGACUUUUUUUUAAAUAUGUGAACUAAAUUUUUUUUGGUCGACGCGGUCAGAUGGAGCCGUCCACCUACCCGUAGUCACGCUGUCAUCUUCAUCAGCGACGAUUUCUUUAGAUCUAUCACGCCUCAACAUUUUGGAGUUUUAUUGUUUUACUUUGAGAGCUGAGAGAAUUUUAGAACCUUGCUCGACCCGGUCAGAUGGUUUUUGCUUUCUUUUUUUUUUUAAGUGGCAGCUGAGUGUGUUUAUUGUGCGUUUGGCUGCUUCGUCUAGGUCGAGCGUGGAUUUAGUAGGCGCCGUGCGGGAAGUCGCUCUCGUACAGGCUGCUGGCCUGCUCCACCCAGUAGUGGUCCUCGACUGGACUGCAGUCCGUCCAUUGGCCAUUGUCAUCUUCGGAAGCUGGUAUUGGCUGUGGUAUUAUUGGAUGCUGCUGUUGUUGCUGGCUACCUCUCCUCCUCCUCUUCCUACCAUUGUCCGUCACUGCCACAGACGCGGCAAUUUCGGGUGUAAUGUUGUAAAGUUGAACGCAAAUUGAAAGCAUCUAUCUGGCAAUAUCUUUCGCUAUAUAGCGAAACAUAUGUUUCAAUUUAAUUGUACAUAUGUGUGCGUCAACGGACAAGAUCGUAAGAAGAGUACGAAAAAGCGAAGUAAGAGCAAAACAAAAGUGCUAAAAGCUGUGUGUGUGUACAGUCUCCAAGAUGGAUACUCCCAAUCCGGAUGGAGUCAACCCCGGAUAGGCACUUAUCCUAUCCUUGCAAAUCGCUCCUGUUCAGGACCACCAACAAUUUAAUAGUGUGUUAAAUAUAGUAUAGUAUGUUAAAAUAUAAAUAUAAAAUCGUGCAAGUUCCUCACAAAGCGCUACGACGGACCGCAAAUACGCAAGAUCUACCAGCAGGCGCACUCAUGCCUACGAGGCCUCACAAUUUUAAUGUUAAAUAAAAACUCUUCUUUGCUGUCGGUAUCUGUGGUGCCCAUAAAAUAACCGCCAAAUGAAUUAACCAAACAAAUUAACCACAAAUCAAACACGGAACUUAAGGGAAUAUCAGGACUGAGAGUGCUUCAGGAACCGAAGAUUCUCGCACUUUGUCGAGAAAUCGUUAUUCAAUUUCGAACACACACGGAAAAAAACUACCUCUUCUUUAAUUUAAAAGACGUAAACAAAUAAAAUCCUAAUAUGCCUCGUCAUUUACACGACAUGUGUUUUGUUUUUAUAAUCGCGGGAAUGGGUCUCGGUCCUAAUCUCGAUUCGACCAUCCUCGUGCCUGGUCAUGAACAUGAUAUGUAUUUUGGUUUUGGAUUCUCAGGAAACAUUGAUAAUGGAACUGGCCAAUCGUUCGGAGCUAUAUGCUCAGAUAUUAUUUCAGUUUAAGUUGUUUUUAACUUGUUGUUUUGGUAAAUUAAUUUUCAUAGGAACGGAAAGACGGACAUGAAUCAAUCAAGCCGUCUGUUGCCGAUCAAGAAUAUAUACACUUUAUAGGAUAUGGCUCCCUUCUUAUCAAUGGUGUAUUAAGGAAAAUGAAUCGAAUUGAAAGAGGAAGCAUAAGACACCCGAAAACUUAUAAAUUUCUUAAUUGUGAUUGGGAUCCCAGACAAAGGAUAAGAAUAAACAAAAUAAUAACUGGGCCAAACUGAAACGGAAAAGUAUUAUCGAAACUCAUCCAUUCGCGAUUCAUUUCAUAACGCACCGCAAUACCUCAAAAGU